rnacentral:lncRNA from 1 species
GGAGUUAGAUGCGUGGUGGAUGCGGGCUGGGUGCGGGGGUGGAUGCGGGGCUGGGUGCGGGUCUGUGUGCGGGCCGGGUGGUCUCGCGUGGGCGCAGCAGUGCGGGGCUGGCGCGCAGGAGCGGACGCGGGCGGCGCUGCUGGAGACGCUGCACGAGGAGCUGCAGGCGCGCAGCCAGGCCAUGCUGGGGCUCAGCCCCGACGAUGAGCGCCCCGACAACGGCGGCGCCGCCCCGGGCUUCUUCGAGUCCUUCAAGUCGCUGCUGGUGCCCGGGAGCCGCCGGGGACGCCGCGGCAGCGCCAUCGGGCUGGGCUCGGUGGAAGAGGCGCUGCUGGUGCCCGGGAAGAGCCCGUCACGGCGGCGGCCCGGCCCCCUCGGCUCCCGCCGCUCCAGCGCCAUCGGCAUCGAGAGUAUCCAGGAGGCGCCGGCCGGCAGGGACAGCCCCGCAGCCGCCGACGGCUCCAGCUCCACACACAGCUCCCCCGAGAGCCGCCGGAACCCCGACAGGUCCCGGGGCUGGCACCGGGAUGGGGACACGGGGACAGGAGGGCACUGGGGGGGGGAAUGUUUGGGACUGGAAGACACUGGGAUGGUGUGGCAACGGGACAGGGUGGCACCAGGAUGGGGUGGCACAGGGAUGGGCACUGGGACAAGUGAAGGUGACACAGGAGGGAUGGGACAGCAAAGGAAUGCAGAGGGACAGAGUGGCGGCAGGGUGGGGUGGCACAGGGACAAGGUGGCACCAGGAUGGCUGGCACAGGGCAGCAUGGGAACACCAGAGGGACAAGGUGUCACAGGGACAGGCUCACCCAGGGGCUGAGUGGCACCGGGUCCGUAUGUCCCAGGGACAAGGUGGCAGCGGGCUGCGGGGUGGCACUCGGGUAGCUUGGCUGCAGGGUGGCAUGAAGGUGGGUGGCACAGGGACACAAGGGACAUGGGGACAGGAUUGCACGGGGCUGGCACCUCCCAGGGCUGGGAUGGGAUGGGGUGGGGACAGGGUGCCACAGGGAUGGGACAUGCCGGGGCCAGGGUGACAUGAGGAUGCAGUGUCCCGGCCGGGGUGGUGUGGGGACAGGGUGUCCCGGGGCCAGCACAGCAUCGCAGCGGGGCCACGGUGGUGGCCACGAGGCGCGGUGCCAGCCUGUUGUGGCCUUGGGGACCGUCCCUGGCCGUGGGGACUGUCCCUGGCAGGGCCGAGAAGCCGGAGCCGCCGGAUUUCUCCCGCUCCUCCUCCAGCGCCAGCAGCUUCGGCAGCGCCGCGGAGGAGCCCGGCGAGCCGGGACGGGUACGGGGAGCCCGGGGUGGGCUCCGGGGGGGCACUUUGGGGUGGGCAGCACCCCCUGACCCCCCUGUGCCCCCUCAGGAGAGCCGCUCGCCCUCGGGGAGCCACCGCGACGCCUUCACGGACACCCCCUGGCCGGAUGAGCCCCCCGGGACCCCCCCAGGUAGCCCAGCACCCCCGGAUCGGGGCACUGCAGGGCUGGGGGCUCCUCGGGGUGCUCACGGUCCCCCCUUUGCCCCAGGCCGCCGCCCGCCUGACUCCCCCUGCCCUGAGAUCAAAAUCCAGCUGGAGCAGCCCCCCCAGAACCCGGUGAGGCUUUGCCCCCUUCACCCGUGCAGAGUGGGGGUGCCCACCGUGGGGUGCCCCCACUGAUGUCCCUCCCACAGGGCUCAUAGUCACCCCCCCACCUGCGGGGGUGCCACUGCUUCACCCCCCUCUGUGUGCCACCCCCGUGCCAGGAGCUGAAGCCAUCGUCCCCGGUGCAGGACUUGGGGGGGGGGGNNNNNNNNNNNNNNNNNNNNNNNNNNNNNNNNNNNNNNNNNNNNNNNNNNNNNNNNNNNNNNNNNNNNNNNNNNNNNNNNNNNNNNNNNNNNNNNNNNNNNNNCGUGACCCCAAAAUGAGGAGUGGGUCCAACCCCAGCAUCAUCCCCUCCCCUAAAAAACCAGAGGGGACUCAAAUCCAGGGUAACCCCAAAGUGGAGCUCCCUCUCCCCCCCUUUAUUUUAAGGGACAAAAGUUCCGGAAUGUGCCGGAGGCUGGAACUGGGGGGAAGGGGGAGGAAUAUUUUUUCACACCCUCCCAAAACUGUGUUUGUGUUUCCCGUGAGUCCUGUAUAAAAUAAAGGUUUAUUUAUCGCUACA